GGGAGGGAGGGAGAGAAUGAUUUAGCAUCGGCAGGCACGGCUGACUCAUUCUGCACUGCCUUCCUCCCGGCCUCCCCAGCACCUGGCCCUCAUCACCCCCAUGCUGUCCUGUCCUUCCCAUUAAUGAAUGUCCCCAGCCCUCUCCACAGGCGGCUGCACUCUCCUCCUGCUAUUCACCACCCUUGCAGUUAGAAGCAAGUCAGUGGGAGAUACCAUCAAAUGCCUAACGCCUGGAGAAACCAGAGGGAAAGGCCCUGAUAGCACACAGGAAUGGAAAAAAAAACGCAGAAGAUGGCCGCGUCCCCUCUUAACCACUCAGCGCCGUGUGUCAAGCUGUGUUUCUCCAGCGGGAAUGACUGAAGCGUGGUGCACCCGGAAGACAGACUCAGUGAGGCAGGCAAGGGAUCCUUGAGGCUGUAGAGCGGCCAGCUGCUGGCUCAGGCAUCUCAACCAGGGACCUUUUGGAUACCUAGCACUUCCUUCAAGGGGUUGAGCAUGGGGCUGCCCAUCCCCCAGGCAGAGGAGGACCACUACUCUAGGUGCAUCUAGACAGGUACAGGACCAGACAAAAACCCCAAUCCGAACUGCUUUUCCCGUGGCGAUGGUAUUAUUUACUGUGUGCAAUAACACACCCCAGGAUAGACAACAAACCCCACUUAAGAGUUUUAAAGAGUAGGGAGAUGGGCUGUGCCAAGGCUUGUCUGGAAGAAACGUGGAGAGAGUGGGGUCUGGAGUGUCUGUUUUUAAAGGUCACUUAGCGCAUGCGUAUGGGGGCUUACGUAGCCACGCCACGCAUACAUUACAUGGCCACGCUGCGCAUGUACUUGAGUCCCUGGAAUGAUUAGGCAUUUUUUGCCUGAAUGUUGAUGACGCAUGCGCGGCCAACCCCAGAAACGCCAGCUCCUGGGAUGACUGGACAUUUUGCCUAAAUGCUGAUGGCCACGUGGGUGGCCGUGGGACCCCGGAAAUGACAACAGUGAGUGUGGUAAUGGCUCUGAGACUGUAUCUGGGAGACGAGAACAAAUAUCUAUGCACCCAAGCUACCGCACCAACCACAGAGCCAAACGAAUGGUCCCUCCCAAGGCAGCUUGACGAAUCAGUGAGUUUAAUAAUGGGGUAACUCGGGUAUAUAUGUAGCGCCUAGCAUGGAUGAUGACUCACAAGAGCUGAGUCAUCGGAGCUCACUGUGCAACUUGUGGAUGGAGGGGAGCCUCGCCUCCUGAGCCUUGAGAGAACAGACCCAGGGGAGGGAGACAGCCAUGCAGUCCUCCAGAGGUCAGAGGUCUUGCCCCGGGAGGAAGCCGGUGUACAAGUAAACACUACGCAGGGUCCAGAAACUCAAGAAGGGAGUGUCAUCAGGAAGGGCAGAGGCGACGGUAAGUGGUGGCCGUGACAUCAUUUGAGUCCCCGCAGUCUGCAGUUCCUAAGGUCACCUCCCUGCCCUUCCAUUGCCUUGAAACCGACACCUUGCCCCUUCUGACAUGAGCUAAACAAACAAACUCCGUAGUCGGGCUGCUUUUACUAAGAUUUCCAAGUUCUAAUGGGUUGAUCAGAUCACAAGAUAAAACGCACGGAAAAUAAAACACAUGACACGUAGGGCGUGUGGCUACCAGGCUGGACAAUGCAAGGUUACGUGGUCAACGCAUAUGUGGCCCCUAGAUCUCCAGUAGCAGCAGUUGGACAGGGAACCCCGGCGACUGGCAUGUUCACUGAUGGUGAAGCGAAUACACCGAAGACACCUGAUAGCCACCCCCACCUCCUCCAGCACCCAUGUGGGCGCGUGACAAAUUCAAUCGCGCAUCACCCCAUCUUCAAAGUGUAGACCAAUGGCCUGGAGAGAAGAGCAGCAGAGGAACGCAAGGGAUAUACUGAGUGUGUCCCACCAGGCGUGAGCACACUUAGCUCUCUGGCACACUUGCACAACUACUUCCAGCCACAGCCCUUGGGAAUGACAGCUCUCAGACACCUGGCAAUACAAUCUGGACUGACACCGGAGAGAUCACUGUCUAAGACACCUCACAGCGGAACACACACAGGAACCACCUCGGCGGACACCGUCGUAACUCCAGCUACGGUGGGAGGGGUCAGUGCACGUGAAUAAGAAUGUGCUUGAGCACAUUCCAGAAGGCGUAAGAGUCAAAUAUCCCACAGAGUGGAAGAAGUACUCUUGAGCUCCUCUCCACUUUGAAGAACUUAAACUCUAACAGGGGAAAAUAAGGUUUCCGUCAACCAUUCUAAACCCUUCUCCCACAAGUGCCUCAAGUAUUAGACUCUUGUCUGGAUCUCUGCAGGAAAGACGUAGAACUUAGACUGGGUAACUUGAUUCGUUUAUUCUCAGUACUGUUUACAAAGGUAGAGUUUAGGGAAAACACUGUCAGCUUGGCUAGAACAAAGGGACCAGAGGGGACAGCAGGCUACCUGAAGGGACAUACAGCAUAAGCCACAGUGGCCCAGCGGGAAAGGAGUUCAGGGAAUAAAUGUUCUGAAACUA